GUGGAUUAGAUACUCUGGUAGUCCACGCCCUAAACGAUGUCAACUGGUUGUUGGGAAUUUAUUUUCUCAGUAACGAAGCUAACGCGUGAAGUUGACCGCCUGGGGAGUACGGCCGCAAGGUUAAAACUCAAAGGAAUUGACGGGGACCCGCACAAGCGGUGGAUGAUGGUCUUUAAUUCGAUGCAACGCGAAAAACCUUACCCACCUUUGACAUGUAUGGAAUCCUUUAGAGAUGAAGGAGUGCUCGAAAGAGAGCCAUAACACAGGUGCUGCACGGUUGUCGACAGCU
rnacentral:rRNA from 1 species